rnacentral:rRNA from 1 species
UACGGGAGGCAGCAGUGGGGAAUAUUGGACAAUGGGCGCAAGCCUGAUCCAGCCAUGCCGCGUGUGUGAAGAAGGCCUUCGGGUUGUAAAGCACUUUUGUCCGGAAAGAAAAGCUUAGGGUUAAUAACCUUGAGUCAUGACGGUACCGGAAGAAUAAGCACCGGCUAACUUCGUGCCAGCAGCCGCGGUAAUACGAAGGGUGCAAGCGUUACUCGGAAUUACUGGGCGUAAAGCGUGCGUAGGUGGUUUUGUUAAGUCUGAUGUGAAAGCCCUGGGCUCAACCUGGGAAUGGCAUUGGAAACUGGCUUACUAGAGUGCGGUAGAGGGGUGUGGAAUUCCCGGUGUAGCAGUGAAAUGCGUAGAUAUCGGGAGGACAUCUGUGGCGAAGGCGACACCCUGGACCAGCACUGACACUGAGGCACGAAAGCGUGGGGAGCAAACAGGGAUUAGAUACC